AUUUUUAUUGUAUUAAUUUUAUCAAUACUCAAGUAUAAUUUAUAUUAGUUUAAAGCUGAAUUUUUCAACUAAAUAAUAUUUUAUGAAACGAAUUUUUAAAAGUACAGACUAAUUUUAUUCUUUAUUAUAUUAUUCAAAACCUGUGAUGGACUGAGAUUGAAGGAUGUAUGGGGUUGUAAAUUUUAGUUAACUUCAUAGUAUUACAAAGGUUUAAUACUUUUUUUUCUCUCGAAAGAGGGGGAAUGUUCAAAUUCAUUAUACCUUUUUUAAAAAGUUAAAAUGGGUCCCAACUUGUGAAAAAACUAUUCAAGUUAAUCUUUUUUUGUUACGAUGUUAAUUUUUUAACAGUGUAGCUGACACCCUGGACAAAACAUAAUGACAUGUUAGAAUAUUUGAGUGUGUGAGGGUGAAAUGACAUGUAAAAAAAUAAAUUGGGAAAAAAAAUAAAUGGCAUGACACUGUACUCUGGGAGGUUAAAAAAACAGGGGUUAGGGUUCGAGAGAAAUCACGAAUUAGGAGUAAACAUUAUGGUGAAAGUGGUGUUCAAAUUGGGGUGUCGUCGAAGCUGAAAUUUGAAGAGCGAAUUCAAAAGUGUAAAUCAGGUUAGUGUUUAUGUUUUAUAAUUUUCCGAAUUUGUGUUAUUGUUUGGUUAUGAUAUUUGUCGCGUUGCCGCGUUUUGGGCGGGGGGGUUAACUACGGGUUAAAUUGUUGUGUGAAAAGUUGUCUUGUUUUGAGGGUUGAUAGUGGUCUCAUAUGUCUUAGUUUAACUUAAUUUAGUGGUCCCCGUUUGCAUUUGCAGGGUUCGAGUUGGGAUGUCUAAUGACAGGUUUCAGGUAGUGGUCCACCACGGUGAGACCUUGAUCAAAGAAGUGCCCUUUAAAUAUAUAGGUGGGGAGAUAGUUUAUUAGGACGUAGCUGACCGCAAUAAAUGGUGUUAUUUUGGAGUAUUAGGUUCACUUAAACAUCUGGGUUACAUUGAAAUACAAGAAUUAUAUUACAAUAUCCAACAUAUUUUACAUAAGCUUUAUGAUGAUAAAGGAGCUAUGGACAUGAUGAAGGUGGCUAAUUAUUUGGGAAAGUAAACCUAUAUGUUGUACAUGGGGUGGACGAACCAGUUGUUGUAGAAAAUUAUGAGAAUGAGAUUAUUUACCUAUGUGAAGGUCCUACAGAGAGUGUUGAGGGUAGUAUCGUUAGAGGAGAAGCACAUGUUGAUGGUGGUGAUGAAGGAAUUGGGGACGUAGAAGUUGAAUUGGAAAAGGAGGUUGAGGAUGAGGGUGCAAUGAAGGUUGAGAAUGAGGAUGCAGUGGAGGUUGAGAAUGAGGUUGCAGUAGAGGUUGAGAAUGAGGAUGUAAUGGAGGUUGAGAAUGAGAGUACAGUGGAGGUUGAGGUUGAAAGUGAAUAAGCAGUGGAAGUGGACAGUGAGGAUGGAGUUGAGGUUGAUAGUCAAGAAGAAGUGGAAGUGGACAGUGAGGAUGAACCAGGAAUGGAUGAUCUGAGUGGUGAUGAAUACGUGGAUCAAGACAGUGAUAAUGAAACCCAACAACAGUAUAGGGGUUUGUCAGAGGAUGACAACAAGGAUAAAUUAUGUGUAGGUCCCUUUUCAAAAUAUGCAAAACAGAAGUCGAUGCCAGAUUAUAGGUGGGAAGUGGGCAUCAUUUUUAGCAAUAAGGAAGACUUUGAGGAUGCCAUUAGAAGGUAUGUUGUUCAUGUUGAUAGGACUCUAAAAUUUGUGAAAAAUGAUAAUCGUAGGAUGAGGGUUAGAUGCAUGGGUGGCUAAGGUAAAUGCCCAUGGGUAGCUUACUGUGGAUAUUUGCCAUCACGCAAAAUUUGGCAAUUGAGAAAGAUAAUUGACACUCACAGUUGUAGUAAGUAACUUAACAAUAAACUGAUGAAUGCUAAGUGGUUGAGUUAGGAAAUAGAUAGGUCUUUAGUUGACAAUCCUAAUCUGAUGUGGAGGGCUGCCAUAUGUACAUAUCCCCAGGCUUGGGAGAGAGAAAUGUUGAAAAUUAAAGAAGUCAAUAUUGAAGCAUAUAAAUACCUCAUAGGCAUUCCCAUGAGGUAACCCAUUGGCCAUUACAUGCACAUUUCAGUCACUCAUGCAUUGUAACCCAUUUUGGAAAUUUUUGUGCAACAGGUUUUGGUCAAGAUCUCACUUCACAGGUCAAACAAUGCGUGAUACCCUAAAUAGCAACAUCAGUGAAGCUUUCAACAAUGUUCUUGUUCAUGCUAGAGGAAAACCAAUUAUCACCAUGUUGGAGGAUACCAGAGUUUAUCUCAUGAAAAGAUGGGCCACCAAUAUAAGUAAGGUGGCAUAUAUGGGCUUCACAAUAUCCCAAAGAUAAAAGAGACUUCAGAAGGAAUCAAAUUUGUCAAGAUUUUGGGUCUCAAGGUAAUAUUAUCAUUUAUGUUCAUAUACAUUUGUCAUUUAUCUUCAUUGUUGAAGUGCUUUAUUUAUUUCAGUUGGCCUGCACAAAAUAUUUUUGAGGUUAGCCACACUUCAGCCGUUGAGAACAAGUUCACACUGGACUUGGACACUAAAAAAUGUAGCUGCAGAAAGUGGAUGAUCAGUGUCAUCCCAUGCUAUCAUGCAAUUGCAACAAUGAACUACUCAAAUGUAGACUCAGAGAAUUUUAUACCCACUUGCUUUAGAAGAUCCACAUAUGAAGAAGUGUAUGCCUCUAUAAUUUUUCUAGUGAAUGACCACCUGCUAUGGGAAAGAACAACCUUCUCUGAUGUACUGCCACUAGUGAAGAGGAAGUUGCUUGGGAGACCAAAGAAAAAAAGGAGGUUGGAGGCAUGAGAGCUAACUAAGGAUGACACUCAAAUGCGUGUUGGUAGACAUAGAAAAAAAUGUAGCAUUUGCCGUCAGAAGGGGCACAACAAGAAUAACUACCCUUUACGUCCCCAGCCAGCAGAAACAACAGAGCUAAUGGAUGAAACACAACCAUCAUAGGCACCUCCAAGUACCCAAACCCUAUACCAUUACAGCCACCAAGUCCCCAAUCAACCCAUCCACUAGUGUUGAGGACAAAAUUAGAUGUUAGAAGAAAAGCUACUUAGAUGAAUUAGAUGUAUUAUGUACUGUGAUUAAGAACUUUAUGUCUUUACUUUCAUGGUGAUGUACUGUGCUUCAUGAACUUUAUUUAAGUAUCUUGGUCAUAAGUUGUACUCAUAUUUUGCUCAUGUACUGGUAAUAUAUAUGUAUGGUAAUGAAGGAAAGUGCUUUGAUGAAUUAACCUAUACUCAUAAUUUCUUAUUUCUUCAUAAUCUUAUGUUAACAGUUUUGUCAUCAUCAUAUACAUUAUUGGCUUGACCUAUGUGAAUAUUUUUAAAGCAAAUGGGAGAUUGAUUCGAAUAUUCUCCACUGAAUUUAACUCAUUAAAAUAGUCAAUGCUACGUAAUACAUUGCAUGACUGAUCUUACACCAACCAAAACACCUUGACAUUGCCAACCUACUUUUUUCAAGCAUCCAAUACAUUACAUGAAUGUCAACAAAACAUAAAAGAAACACCCAAUUUCCCCACCUCAGAACCUGAAAGUCACAAGGUUCAGCGUAAUAUACACAAACAAAGCUACAACUAACAACUUCAUCCUUUUCUUCAAAUCCUUCACUACAUUUUCCAGAUCACUUAUCCUCCUCACAAUUGUACAAUCUUUUUCAUCAACGUUUUUUUUCAGAACACCGCUUGAAAAAGUUACACGAGCUCCCAAUUGAAGAUCCACCCUAUUAUUCACCAAGUUAGGGAAUCUAUCACCAAAUGCAUAAAGUGAAGAAAACAUAAACUCGGAAGGGUAUACUUAAAACCUUGUAAUGAGAACAUCUCCAAAAAUUUCUGCCAGCAUUCUCCGUAGUUCCCGCGACUUUGGUUACAACAAUAUUACCACAGUAACAAAUAGGGAUUAUCCCACCUCCCCUCCAACCAUCACCAUGAGACAAACGCGAAGAUCCUUUGACCCAACUUUUCGAAAACGAAGAACACCCUUGGGAAGAAGCCAUUCCUAUCUCGCCCCAAACACUUUUCUCACCUCAACGACUAAGUUGGAGGAACCUAAACCCUAACCCCUCUUUUUUUAACUUCUGCCACGUUAUCUAUUUUUUUUUUCACAAUUUUAACCUCAAAUAGUCACACGGUCACAUAAAAUAGACACGUCAUUAUGUUUUGUCCAGGGUUCAGUUACACUGUUAAAAAAUUAAUGUCAUAACAAAAAAGAAUUAAUUUGAACAAUUUUUUCAUAAGUUGAAACUCUUUUUAAUUUUUUUAAAAAAAGUAGGACGAAUUUAAAUAUUCCCUAUUUUUCAAGGAAUCAAAAGAGGCAUUAAGCCUAUUAUUAACAUUGAGUUUAAAAGUUGAAAUUUGUUACAUUAUAGUUUUUAUGAUUUAUAACUUCUGAAAAUGUAUAUGUAUGAAGAUUUUUUUUAAAAUAAUAACUUGUAAAGGAACUGUUAUAACAAUAUUUAAAAAUUAGGUAAAUAAAAAUCACUUUCCAUAUAAGGUUUUUUUCUUCUUUUUGUGUUAAAUUGAUAUCUUUUAAGAAAAUAUAUAGUAUUUUUAUCUGUAAAACGUUGAUUAUGGACUGAAUUCUUUUCGGUAUAUUUUUUUGAAAUAAUAACCUUUCACUACUCUAUUUUUUUUUCGUAAAAAUUCCAUUUUAGUUCAUAUUUUAUAGGAUGAUAAAAAAAUUAUGACCUCUUUCAAAAGACAACAACAUCAAGUAAUUAUUUUUAAGCUAAAUAAAAUUAUUAUGAACUAUAAAUUUUUCAAUGUUUAACUUAUUUGUAUAUUAUAUUCAAACUCGAGGUCAUGUAUUAAAUAUUCAUAUAUAAAUUGAUUCAAGUGUUUAGUAAUAAACUCUAUUUAUUCUUAUAGUAAUCCUAGUUGUAGACAAGUUGUUCUUGUGUGACAUGGAUAUAAAUAACCAUGUGGAACUUGUUUUCCCUGUUUUUUUUUUCUAAUAACAUGUGCCUAGUUCAAAUUUGUUGGCCCCUUUCUAAACAUUAUCUGGGCCCAAAUUGGAAAUGAAUAGUACUCCAGUCCUAUGUAAAAUGAUUGACUUCUGUUGACUAAUUUUUAUUUUUGUAUAUAAUAUUCUUCUUCUUUGAGAUUGAUCAGAAGCAUGCCUAAUUCCUAGUUACAAUUUUAAUAUGAUAAAAAAAGUGACUCAUUCUUUUUGCAUUAAAAUUAUAAAGAAGACUAAUUCCCUAUAUAACCCUAUAUGUUUUAGUUAGAUCUUUGCAUUAAUUAUGCACUUUAAGUUUCACUUUUCCAAUUCAUGGCUUGUGGUACUUCUAAGAAUGAUGAUACAAAUCAUGAAGCAGAAAAGAAAGAGAAUAUAAUCACAUUGAAAAGUUUGUCUGGUGGACUAUUGAUUUUUCUGUAACGUGUAAUAUUGUGUCAUGUACAAUGUUGACUAUAUAUGCAGAUUACGUGCUCAAAUUAUUACUUACAUGAAUUCAUAAACAGUAGCCAUGCGCAUAAUGUUUCAUUGCUUCGUCGCUUUAAAACAUGUAACAUGUAAUUAAAUUUAUUAAUUCCAAGCACUAGUCUGAAAAUCUAAAUUUUACGUUGUAAUUUAUUCUUAGCUUUAAUAACUUAAAGUUUGACAUCAAACUAUUCCUAUUGUUAACCUUUUAUUCUUUAUAUUUCUUCAAAUUUACUUUAAUUGUUCUAUCAGAUAUAUUCAUUGAUAAUUUAUUGUUGAUUUAAUUUACCCACAAAUAAAUUCGUCAGUAAUUUAUUUGAUGAAAUCAAAUUUAUAUUUGAGAUUUUCUUUUCCUAAUUUUAUUUUUUGCUUUUUUUAAAAAUAGUCUACUUUGUAACAUUAUUUCUUUGUAUCAUUAGUGUAGGGCGGAGGUGAGUGGAUUCAAGUUCUGAUCGGGUUGUAGUUCAAUGGGAAAUAACCUAUGUUAUAAUGUUUUGCAAUUUGGAGAAAGGAUACAAGGGACACCUUGAGUUUGUAUGUUCUCAUAAAAGAUAUAAUAUUAGAUUUUUUUUUUUCUUGUGGAUGGGUAUUGGUACGUGGACAUUGGGUAUGUACGGAUUAUGGUAUCAAAGUUUGUUGUUAUUGGUCGUGUGGUCUCUAAUUACUUUCUUACUUGGUAUGGUUGUUUCAGAGGUAGGGCAUUUACGUUAAAUGUUUUCCAUGGUGUUGGGUGGGGUUACCAUGGUUUUUGUCAUUGCUAUCACAAUAUCUCCUAUACCAUCUUCCUAUACUGUGAUGGUGUGCUCAAGAAAGUCUUGUUUUUGUAAGUAGGUCCUAUUUUAGUAAUUAGGAGAGUGUUGUAGGAUGAACAAGACAUGUUUUGAUAAACAAGAUCAUGGAAGUCUUGCUUUGGAAAGUGUGCCCUAUUUUAGUAAACAGAUCAAGUUGCUCGAGUAUGGAAGAGAACAUAGUAAAAGAUGGUGAUAACAUGGUUUGCUUGGAUUAAAGUUGGUUUGGCAUGGUUUUGUUGUGUGGUGAUUUAUUUGAAAUAAGGGCAUAAUGAGGUUAGAUAUCAAUUUUAAUUAUAUCAUUAUAUGUUGUUUUGAUGUUUAUUUUGUUAGUUCACCCUUACGUUUUGUGGUUGUGGUUUCCGCUUUGAUGACCAUAUUCAUACGAGAGCAGAUAAUAUUACAAAGGUUGAUGUUGAUGGUACUAAUGUGAUGUAGAAUGAGAGACGGUGGAGAAUGAUUCUCGAAGUUUCCAAAAAGUUAUUUCUCUUUUUAAUUAAUCAUAAGGAGUCUUGGUACAUUAAUUCCAGUUGUAAUUGGAUUAUUUAUUGUUAUAGCAUAAACUUUAUUAUUUUUAUGACAACAAAAUAAAUUUUUAAAUUUUCACUACAUUGAGGUGGUAUCAUAAUUUUAUUUAAUUGAUGUCUUUUGUGUUUGGUUGGGUUAGAUUUUAAUAGGGUUGUUUCCUUUUGUCAAAGGUUAUUGCGGUAGUAAUGUUUUAACUUAUAUGUUUGACUUGCAUUUUGGGCUUACAAUGUUGAUAUUAGUUGUCUUGCUUCUAAACUCCAUAUUGUAAUUUCUUACAAAACAAAAUCAUGAUCCCUACAAACUGCAUUGUUUAUGUUUUCUAAAACUUAUAUAAGAUAAAUUGUGAGUAUGGUGGACGAUUUAAAUGGGGAUUGUAUUUUGCAGAAAGAUGAAUAAAUAAGUCUUGAUCGUUUAAUUGCUUAUAAUUCAAGAUAUCUCUUUUAUAUCUUUUGUUUUGAUUUUUAGGCUAGUUAAAUAGCUACCUUUAAGAUGAUUUAUAAUUAAGAGAUGUUGGAAAAAGAAUGGAUUAGUUUUAACACCUAGAAGAUGAAUUGGUGAAAAUAAAAAAUCAGAAUCUUUUCAAAAUCUUUUUCACAAAGUGUAAACCUUUCAAAAGUUUCUUGAAUCUCGUAUGAAAAAGAUAAAUCAAUGCAGCAAAAAAUAGUUGACGAUACUGAAAAUAUAGUCGACUUUAAAAUAAAGAGAUCAAGGAUAGAGAAAUUCAAACAUAGUUUUUAUACUAGUUCGACCAAACUGCCUACAUCCAGUGUCCUUCCUCUAACCGAAAGCAAAUGCACUAUAAUGGUCAAGGUUUUUACAACAAGGUUUCUAUAGGGACCUUCAUGUCAAAAUAUAAAACACCUCUCUAACCCUCUAACCAAAUAUAGGCAUACAACACCUAAAAAACAACAAGAUAUCCCCUCUCCUACAGUCUUUGUCAACUUUGAACAAUCCUCAAAGUUUUCCUAGCUCUUCCUGUAAUCACAAUAGGGCAGCCACAAUCUUCACAAGAUUGAGAGAAGUAGAUGAUCACGUUUCCAGUACACCUCAAUGUGCAGUAUGAUCAAGCCUUUCUUUCAACACAACCUUGCUCGUUAAAUAACUAUCCAAGAGAGAUCUCCACGGUCUUCUUUAUAAGUUCUUAGAGCUUUUCACAAAGAUCAAAAUCUGAAACAAUAGAAUGAAAUUGCUAGAAUAACCAAAGUCCCUGUGUAAAACAGAAUCACGUCUAUUUAUAGUUUUCUGUAAAAAAGACGCUCUUGUAGUCGACUUCACUACUAAUCCAGUCGACUUCAGUCAAACAAUUAAAAUAGUUAAAACCAAUUAGUAGCAGUCAGACCAACCAAAUUGAUUGGGCAUUUAAUUCAGUUGACUUGCAAUUAAUGCUUUGUCAAAUAGACAAUAUAUAGCUGUUAUAGUUCACAAACAUUAACAGAAAUUCAAAACAUAACUAACUAAGUCGAGUUGCCUACGUAGACAGUCGACUAUGUCACUUCAAUGUAGUUUUGAAAAUCUUUCCUUUGCAAAAAUACUCACAACACUGUUUUUGAAAAUUUGUGCAAAGUCACGAGUUUUAAUCGACUUACUUCAUAAUGAAGUUGACUUAAAACUUGCAGUUUUGCCACACAAUAUAAGUUCAACCAAGUGCAUGUGGUUUUCUUUUCUAAACACAUAUGUAAUGAAAUCACAGAAGAUAUCUCAUGUAAAGAUCAGUGAAUAUGCACACAUAUACAAAAUUAACACAAACAUGUUCUUCAAGAAUUCAUACACAAUAAAGUUUUGAACAUGUAACACAUAUCAAUACAUGUGUUAUUAAUAAUGUGUUGUCAUCAUCAAAAACCAAAAAUACUGUGAGAUUAAGGUUUAGCUAAACCAGUACUUCCCUUAUCAACAAUCUCAACAAGAGAUGUGGGACCUAAACCCUGUUUAAACAUUACAUUUCAUAUUUAAGAUCUCUGAGUCCUAUAUCCCUUAGUUUACUCAACCUACUUCCUCUACUACACCUACAUAGGCAAACCUAAGGCUUCCUUUGUAUUUGCAUUAAAUUGCAUUUCUUCUUUAAGAUACAAUUUAUCUCUUAGUUUGAAUUUUGGGUCUUAUCUUGUAAAAAACAAGUGGCAAUCCUUCCUUAUUAUUCCAUAUCAUGUAAGAACUAAACAAAUAAGAACAAAAAUGAAAUUAAAAGGUAUAAAAUGAAAAGGAGAAAAGGAAAAGAAACUUAGGAAAUUGAAGCCACGCUGUUUGGAGGGAUCCAAUAUAAGUGCAAGGGAGGAUCAUAAUUUGUUCUUUAAAAGAUAAGUCUCAAAAUAAUUUAGACUAAAAGAUAUAUUAUCUUAAAGAAAAAAUGUAAUUUAAUGUAAAUCGCUUUAAUUUUCAUUUAGUGAAAGGUUUAUUACUACAAAUGAGGCCUUAGGUUGCUUAUAUAGGUGUAAGAGAGGAAGUAAAUUAAGUAAAUUAAGUAAAUUGAAAGAUGUGGAACUUGGAGAUCUUAAAUUUGAAAUGGAACGUUAUAAACAGGUUUUAGGUACCACAUUUCUUAAUUCUACAUUACCCUAAAGAUAUAUAAGCUACCCAACUAGUGUAAAAAUCAAAACUAAAGUUAUAUCAUAGAUAACUUGAAUUACAAGCAACUAAAAGAGGAAAACUUUUUUAUUAUUUUUUCUUUUUAGUCCAAACUAUUUGGAGUCGCAUAUUGAUUGCACUUUAAAGAAAAAAAGGAUCUAUAAGUAUCUCUACAACCAAACUAAGGAACUAGCAAGGCAAAAUACAAACCUAUGAAAAUCUAUGCUAAUAAAGGCCAAAAUACAUGUUAUAAAACCUAUUCUAUUCUUUUCAUUUCUUCAUGUUUUCCUUAUGUCUUGAGCCAUUUAUGAUCACAUCAGAUCAGCCCAAUGAAAAGGGGUGAACUCAAAAGCUAAUCUGAGGUUGUUCACAAAGGGUGAACUCAGAAUUAUAGGUAGGGGUCAAAGACCCUGUUAUUUUCUUCAUUCUGUCUUUCUUGUGGACAUCUUGGUGCCCUCGUAAUGUUGUGAGAUUGCAUUUUAGUGCAUUCUGUUUUCAAGUCAUAGCAUGCUUUGUAUUGAUUACAAAAUGUAGUUUUAAAGUACAUGGACAUAAGGGUCUAUAUAAGAAAAUCCAGAUUUAGAUAAAGCCGUGUCUCAUGGAAUGUUUGCAAAUAAAGAAACUGUUUUUGGCACUGUAGUAGAUGCACGUCAAACUUCUUAGUAAAAAAGGAUUCACUGUGAUUUAUUUAAGGUGAUAUCAUAUGUCUUGCUUCUAAAGUAUGCUUUAGUAAUUGUUUUUACGUUGCAUGUUGCUGUUGAACGUGGAGUAAAAUUUUGAGUAGUAGACAGAGAAGAAAAGUGGAUCCCCUAUCACUUUCUUAUGAUUCAAUAGUGGUUUUCAUACAAAUAGUAGCGAACACACUAUAAACUGAAGAACUUUGUAAUUAAAACAGCUUAAACUCAAACCAAAUCUACUCUAGGAAAGCAAUAAAAUCUACCAAACUAGCUUUGUAGUGAAGGCAGGUUCAUAACAUUAGAGAGAAGGAAAACUCAGAACUGUAAAAUCUGGAAAAGGUUUUCUUAUUAGUCACUAUGUGGUUUUCAUCCAUCUCUAAUUUUGAUAUUCGCAUUCCGGUUCUGCAACACCCCGGACUCAUCAUUUCUAAUAGCAUAUGGCAUAUUACUGCAAUAUCUUCGCACUGGUUUUUUAUUACAUUAGUCUACUACAUCAUUUAAAUUGAAGAACUUUAGUUCAAAGUCAAAAGGAAUAGAUAAUUUGGUAGAAAGAAAAAAUGAGGUAAAUUAGGAGUUAUGAUUGUAUUCUGUUGAACAGUACGUAGCAUCAACUUAUGGGCUUUGCAAGUUUAUUGGAAGACAGGAUAUGAAUGACAUAGCACGGGGGAAUCUAUUGAUUGAUUUUCUUCACUCUCGGUUCUUUGCUUAUUGGUAUAACAAUCAAAGAAUAUUACACCCCGAUUGUACUUUAGUUUAAGUCAUAGGGAAAAUUCUCAGCUAAACUUUAAUGGUUGCAGAAGAGUAAUAUAUAUAUAUAUAUAUAUAUAUAUAUAUAUAUAUAUAUAUAUAUAUAUAUAUAUAUAUAUAUAAAGACCAUAUCAAUUUGAAUUGUAAUGUGUAACAGCAAUAGGUGGUAUAAAGUGAAAAUAGAAACUUCCUCAUUUCUCUUUAUGCAAGUGAUAAAAUAAAUUGGAGAAAGAAUGAGUGUGUGAGAGAAAAAGAAUGGAGGAUUCAUGCAAGUUGUGGUAAGAUGCAUUGUUUCAUGUGUGGGGUCGGGAAUGAAUAGGACACUCCUUCACACUUUCUAUCGCGCUUGUUUGGAUAAUUUUGUUCGUCUUUUGUUAAAGUCCUUUCUGGUUAAUGUUCCAAACCGCUCGAGGAUACUUGUCAAAGGCAUUUCGAUGCUUAAGUCAUUAAUUAAUCCAGACGAUGGUUAGAGCAAAGUCAUAAAUUCACAAUAAAUAUGAUCACUUACUUUUUAUCUUUGACCUCUAUUUAUAGUUUUAGAGAUGGGCUUAAGAUUAGCAAAACCCUAAUCACGACCCCAAUCUCGGUCCAUUAUCUACUAAUUAACACUUACUCUUAACCUUGUCUAUUUGGUCUUUACCCACAUUCGGCCGAGCAAUCAUCGUCUUAUUUUGUUCAAUUUCAUGGGUUCAGACAUAUUCGAUCGGUCAUCCCUCAAUGGCUCUUUCUGCCCGGUCUUAGCUAUGUUGUCAUCUGGCCAUACAGUACAAAGGCCUCCCAAGCCCUAGCCAACCCUGGGUGGCGUUGGAUUUGAUACAUGGGUGGUGUGGAGUAGGUCUCGUGGCUAUGGUUGGAGCUUCCCCAUACGACGUGAUUUGAAUUUGUGGUAGUGGUGGGAAGACACUUGUCUUAUUAAUUAUGUGUUGUCAUCAUCAAAACCAGAAGAUCUCUGAGAUUGUAAGGUUUGGCUAAAUAAGUGUUCCCUCUAUCAAAAAUCCCAACAACCUUCAACAAAGAAAGGUCAAACCUUCAACACAAAAGAAAAAGGACACACCUUGAACUAAGAGUACAGAGAGAACAGAGGAUUGGAGAGAGAACGGAGAGUGGAGAAAGAACAACAAAGAAGUUGAAUUAUAGAGAGAGAAUGAACCCUCUUUUUCUGAAUGAAAAAAGCAAGGGUAUUUUGGAAUUCAUAAGUGUAAUAUGAUUACAUUUUCCCACGUUACCUUUUUCAAAUAAAAAAUUUAUUUUAACCUUCUCCAAUACUGUUUUUAGACAUGGCAAUUGUGAAAAAGUUAUAAAAAAAAGGUUUAAUGUCUCGAUAAGUCCUUAUUUUCGUCCUGAAUCUCAAUUAGGUCCCUUUUUUUUCGACUUCUCGAUUAGGUCCUUAUUUUUGUAAAAUUGAAUCAAUUGAGGGUCUACCGUCAAAUUAAACAAACUGUCGUUUAAAUUUACUGACGUGACAUUAAAAACGAAUUUUAUAUUAAAAAUUUGAAUUACACAAGUGUGAAUUCAAAUUUAAGAAAGGGCAAAGUAGGCAAAAUCUAAAAUUUAAGUGCAGCCCCUAACUUCAAUCUUCCAUGUUCAUUUCAUUCAACUCAAAAUUAUAUUCUGUUCAUCAGCAUCCUUCCCAAAUUCCAUCAACGUUUCCCUGUCCUUAUCAUACAGCGGGCACUCAUUCUCCAACUAACAAAGUUGGACUACCAACUUAUCAAACUCCAGUGCCAGUCUAUGAUUCUCCUCCACGAAUUUCUUCAAAACUUGCACUCGCUUCAAACUGCUCUAAAAUACCCAGAAUUCCCAUCAUCAAAUUUUCAAAAAAAAGAAAAUGAAAGAUAAAGAUUCAAAAGACCAAUCUUGCAUAAAACAAAAUCAAAUGCAACCAAAACAAAAAGUAAAAAGCCUUCCAAUUCCAACAUUAAUAAACAACCAGUACAUGAUUGGAUUAAUGUGAGUAUUUCAACAAUUUACUGAAGCUUCACAAUUGAGAUUUCCCAAAUGCAGAUUAAAAAAUGAUGAUAAAAGCAAACAAAGAGGAGCGGACCUCACCUCGUCCACAUUAAAAUCCCGAUCAAUUAACCGGUGUCCUGAGUUCUCCAAUUCAGAAACCCUAACGCUCCUUCGAGUUUCUUUCGACACUUUCGCGACGGCGGAGUCCAAAUCCUUGCGGAGGAGCGUCCCUCCCAUGAUGAAUCCCUCUUGUUCGAAGGCAAAGAGCGUCUUGGACUGCGACGGAGAAGAACAAAAUGGAAAGGUGAGACCUUGAAGGAAAUGUAAAUGUUAUUGAUGGUGGCCAAGUCGUUGAAGGAGAUGACGUUGAAUGGAGGAUGCAGAUGAUGUUGACUGGCUUCAUUACUGAGAAGGAGUUUUAGGGUUUUGAAAGAAAAGGGGUUAAUGGAAGAAGAAAAGAGGUUUGUCUUUUUUGCCCCUCUGAACAUAUUUGAUUUAACUUUGCUUAAUUAUUUUUUAAUAUAAAAAUUAAUUCAAAUUUAUUUUUAAUGCCACAUAAGAUAAAUUUAAACGGUCGUUUGUUUAAUUUAACGGCAAGUCUCUAAUUCUUCAAUUUUACAAAAAUAAGGACCGAAUUGAGAAGUUGAAAAAGAAAUGGACCUAAUUAAGAUUCAGGGCAAAAAUAAGGACUUACGGAACUAUUAAACCUAAAAAAAAAAGUUGUUAACUUAUCGCGAUCCACAAUCAAUAAAUCUCCUUUAACACGAAAACUACCUAAAAGCAAUAUCUAUAACUUAAUGUAGUAAGGAAUUUUGACCAAUAAUUUUUUAGACACAAAGUAAUAUGCUUAAACUAAGUAUAAUUUCAAUGUCUAAUCUCUAUGCAAACUAGUAGAGUCCAUUCUCUACCUAUUGUAAGGUAGUGUGGUGUUUUUAUUACACCACUUUUACUUUGCACGUGGGUAAAUGAUAUAGAACAAUUAUAUUUUUUGUAAUCACCAACAAGACCAACCCCUAACUCUGCUAUCAAAUAAAAAAGGACGGAUCUAACAAUGUGAUUAAAGGAAUUUGAGUAACCUCCACCGCUAACUCAACAUGCAAGAGUUCAUUUUCAAAUGUAUUUAGAAGUCUAUAUCACAUAUAUUCAACUAUAACUUCAAUUACUCAAAAAGCAACUUGAGCUGUAAGGAGUGCAAUGGGAAAACUCCAACCUAGAAAUCAAAACAAUAGAAACAAAAAUACAACCAAACUUAGGCAAAGACUAAAUUAGUUGAGAAAGUUAUUUUUCUCAAUUUAUAAAGUAUAAAAGAAAAAUUAAAUGGAUUUUUGAUGCAAAAAAGAAAUUUUAAUUUGAAAAGAAAAUUCAUAGGAUAGAAAUGGUAUUUUAUCAUGCUAGUAUAAGGUAGGAUAUGAUUAUGAAAAUGGAGCAUUGGAGUGAGACACUAAAAGAAAUAUUAGAGAAAAACAAACGUUUUUGCAUGCAUGAGAAAGAGAGAAUGAGGGGGAAGUUUUACAAUUUUUUAACUCAAAAAUUUGGGUUCCAUCUUUAAUUUUGUUUAUAUUUUUUUACAUUUACCAAACUAAAUUAUAUAUGUAUGGUCACAAAUGAAAUUAGUAAAUUUAGGAAUAAAUAUAAAAAUCACAUACUUUCAAAAAUAGAGAAACCAAAUGUCUCACCCGGUUUAUUCAAUCAUAAAUUGUAAUAGUUGGUACCUAAUGUUUUAACUAUAAUGUUUUAAUUAAUUAAAAAUAUAAAAAUAUUUAAUAACUUUAACUUUUAUAUUGAAUACUUCUUCGUUUAAAAAUAUGAUUUCAAAAUAGUAAUGUUUUCCCUUCCGAACAUAAAAUUCACUUCAAUAGUUUUCUAAAAUAAUACAGAAUUAUUCACUGUUUUUAUAAUCAUAUUAAAGAUUCGUGUAUUAUUUUAUCUUAAGUCCGUAAAAUAUCAUAUCGGUCGUUUAUCGACGAAAUAGGCGAAAACUGGAAAGCAAAGACUGAAGGGAUAUGUUUUGCUUAGCGAUGAAGGAAAUCUAUAUUACAAAUAAAUUAAAAAAACAAUGUCAUAAUCAAUUAAAUAUAAGAAAAAAAUAGUAAGAACCUGAUUCUAUUUUAUUUUCAUUGAAUUAACAUACCUAUAUAUUUUUGUCUGUGUCUGAAGUAGAUUCUAUUUAUACAUUCUACGAAUCUAAUACUGAUUCUGUGUUAACAUCAUACUUCAUUUUUGUCUGCCAUAAGCAGAUUCUGAUUAUAGCUGCAAUUGCAAAUAUAACAUGAUUGAGGUUAUACUUGCAACAUAACGAAAUACUUUCCCAAAAGGGCUCUUAUUUUCGUAUUGGCCCCAAAGGUUUUGGAAUAACAGCCCAUUACAAAAGAUACUUUAUUCUUUCUUUCUUCAAUCACUUUUAUUGCAGGAGGGCAGUUUGAGAUCUAUUUAGGUUAAACUCAUUCGGAGGUAUCUAUUUUUGUGUUUUUGUUUCACUUACAUUUCUGUCUUUUAUUCUUUCACCAAUUAGAUUCUUAAGAUUGAAAAAUUGAAAGAAUUUGACCUUUGCCGUUAAAUCAAGCUAACAGGAUUAACUUUCAGCUUACAUGUAAGGGUGAGGUGGAUAAAUAUGAUCACGUGGCGUGCACAGAAGGGUUUGUUUAUGUACGUGGCAUUAAAUUUAAAAAGUAGGGGUUUUGUUAAACAUUUUAAAAUUAGGGUUAUUUUAAAAUACAAUUAGGAUUAAAUCUCUUUCAGUAGUGGAGUGGUGGUUCCAACAGCACCGACUCGUCAUCACUGGCGAUGUCUACGGCUCAUCCUCAGUUGCGCCUCGGUGCUACUUCUACCGGUCUCUCCACCGUCAAGUGCAUGCAAAACGUGGCCGCCAAAGCCGUCGCGCAACGCCUCACUCGUGUCAUGGCAUCUCAGAACGCCAUCAUCGACGAAGGUGAAGAUGACGAUGAUCUCGAUUUCCGGUUCAGCGCUCCGCCUCCUACAUCUAUUUCUUCUUUCUCCAUCAACGCCAUCAGUAACAGGAGCACCAACACAAAUGCCUCCACUAUUCCUCCGAUUUUGGUUGCCAAGCCUAACAGAUCUACUUCUCCUACGAUAACUCUCUCUGCAAUUCGACACUGUUGGGUAUGUCACUGUUUGUCCAGAAUUUCAGGAAGAAAAUAGAAGAUAAACGUCACGCUAGAGAGAAAAAAUCACCAUGGUCGCGAACCGAACAGUGAGAAGGAAUUCAAAGUGAGCGCGUUGAAUGAAGAGAAAAAAAAAUAAAGUGAAUAAGAUUAACUGAAUAAGGAAUCCACCUUGUGGUCGCGACUACGGUAUUUGAACUGGCGAGGGAAAUAACGAAGGACGUAACUAAGGCCGUCAUCGGAGAGAAACAUCUCUGGUGUUAGUUUGGGCCUUGUUCGAGGAAGUUUCUUGGGCUUUUCGGUUGUGAAUCUGGGCUUGAAAGAAAAGGAAGAAGGAUUGGGAGUGGGAUUGGUGGAGGCGUUAGGGUUUGGAUUGGAAUUGGGAGCAGAGAAAGGACAGUCUCGUGACCAAUGACCUGGUCUGCCACACUUGUAACAGCCUGUGGCGGUUGCUGUUCCUUUUCCUCCAUUUUUUCACUUCUCACUGAUCACUCUCCUUUCCCAACACACCAUCUAUCUGUGGUGCGAUGGUGCUCCACCUGGACAGGAUAGAAUGCGGUGAUAGAGCUACGUGGUACAAGCAACUGUUAUCGGCAAUACUGCAGCAAUGAUUUUGAUGAUUGAGUGUCUGGUGCAGGAGGUGGUCGUCGGCGACGGUGUGGUAGCGAUCUAGGUGGCGCGGCGCAAAUAGUGAAGUAAGGAAGUUUUAGGGUUUAUGGAAGGAAGAAGGAAGAAUUUUCAGUUAUUUUAAAAAAUUUAUUCAGAAUAAAAAUUAAAUAAUACAAAUAAUUAAUAAUAAUAAUAAUAAUAAUAAGGUUAAGAAACACUAAUUUUUUAAUUCUUUGUUUAAGAUACUGACACGUGUAUAAUAAAACCAACGUAACAGGUUCUGUGCACACCACGUCACCAUAUUUGUCCACCUUACCCUCACAGGUAAGAAAAAAGUUAACCCCGUUAACUUGAUUUAACGUCAGGGGUCAAAUUCAUUCAAUUUUCCAAUCUUAAGGACCUAAUUGGCAAAAAAAAAAAGAUGAGGAUGCAAGUGGGACAAAAACACGAAAAUAGGGACCUCUGAAUGUGUUUAACCAUCUAUUUACCUGUAUUGAUGUUAAUUGAAGAGAAGGUGCUUAUUAAAUAAGUCUACUAAGUUCAUGGGGUACCAUAAUUGAGAUCUGGGACACUAGAUUGGUCGAAGAACCUUUAAUGAUUGGAUUGUGAAUAGGUGUAUGGUAAGUAAAAGUCUAUAUAAAUAUUAUAAAUAAAAAGUUUAAGGUAAUUGUUCACUUUUACUGCAACAUUUAGUAUAGCCUUUGGAUCAAUACUAAUUUAAGCAUCAGAGUGUAAUCUAUAAGUACACUUCGAACGAUUUGGACAACUUGAGACCUUAAGUAUUGAAAGGAGCUGAAAAUUGAAGUUAACCUAAGACCGAGACAUAUAGGAAAUGGAAAUGCUUGACCAAUCUAACAGAAACAUUUUUGUACCCACCGUGGGACCGAACGAGCACUUUUUUGCUGCUAUGGUAAUCACAAAGAACAUGACAAACAAUGAAGUACUAGAGGAGCAGCAUGUGGAUCCUAUGGCUAUGAUGCACGACAUGAGAAGGGAGAUGGAGACUAUGAGAAGGAAGCAUGAAGGAGAGAUGACAAUUUUGCACACAGAAAACACACUUAUGAAACAAAAACGGAAACUAAGGGACAUGUACAAUCCACCCCAACUCAACUUGGACCAACCAAACAACCAAGAAUCGAGCAUGAUCGAACAGUUCAGAAGAAAAAUUAUGGAGCUAGUAGAGAUCACAACCCAUCUGUCACUGUCACGGUAGACAUGUCUGGGUGCACCCGUUUACUAGUGGAAUCAUUAAGACCCCUUUACUAGACAAUUGGAAGAUGUCAACGUUUGACAAGUAUGAUGGAUCCACGAAUGUUAACGAGCACAUCAACAUUUGUCUAACGCAGUUGGUGUUAUUCACGUCAGAUGAUAUCAUUUAGUGCAAGGUAUUCCCAACAUCACUAAAAUGAGCCAUCCUCGAGUGGUUCAAGCUUCUAUCUGUCAACUCCAUCGGCUGCUUCGCCACAAUUAGAACGAAAUUUAGAACAUAAUUCACCACUAGCCAACAACAUCAUCUAACGUACAUAGCGCUUGUCAACAUUCGACAAUACAAAGAUGAAAUCCUCUGAACAUUCAUAGAUCAAUUUGGAAAGAUAUCUUCACAAAUAAAGGACCUAAGUCAUAAAGUGCCUAUGCAUCAGAUAAUUCACCAAAAAAACUUGUGGGAUCGUUCCCCAAUAGCCUGUUAUGCAGUCUACCACAAAUUUAGACGAUUUGAUAUAGAGAGUAGCAAAGUACAUGCAGCGAAAGGGCUUGAAAGGCUUUCGAAAGCAAAUGCGACUAUAAAGAGCAAAUGUAAAUAAGGGUACAAAUAAAAAAUCAUUCACCAAGAAUCAAGACUCAAAGUUACGGAGUCAAUCAGAGGUCCCCACUUCCAUAACCACACACCAUCGAACAAUGGUUGUUCGAAAAUCCUUUGGGAAGCUCUAAACACAUACUUGUUACCAUCACCUAGAAGAAAGGCAACCCUGUUGAACCUUGAUAGUAAUAAACAUUGUUAAUAUCAUCAUCACUUAGGCCAAAACAACGAUGAGUGUCUACCGCUAAAAUAUAAAAUAGAAGAGUUCAUCCAACUUUGACAGUUAAAGAAGUUUGUCAAAAUUGAUUAAACCCCUACCAUAGAGAAGAACCCCUAAAUGAGCAGUAUCAAUGUACAAAUAGUAUAAGGAGCAGCCUAGGUGAAGAAGCCGAAGUAAGAACAAGAGUCGGGAUGGUCCAUCGAGGGAAACAAUCAACACAACCUAAGGAGGUUUCGCUUGAGGAGGGCACACAAUAUUUUCCUAAAAGAAUCACAUUUGAGCAAUUAAAAUGAUGAAUCUCGUAGAGAAGAGAGUUAGAAGCACGCCCUUCAUCACAUUUUCUAACGAUGAUUAUAAAGCGCCUGACCCUGACCAAGACGACUUGAUGGUCAUCUCAAUCCAGCUAGCCGACUAUGCUAUAAGCAAGAUUUUGGUCAACCAAGGCAGACAAGAAGAAGAAGGAGUUGUGCUUACAACCUUCACGGCUUCCCCCGACCGAUUAGCAGAUUCCUCUUGCUCAACAAGUUCAACAGCAGCUUUGAAGAAAUUCUUCUUUAGAUUGUGGGAUGCCAUAAUCUCUGAAAGACAACAAAAAAUUUAGCUAGGUUAAAAUCAAGUCAAAAACAAACGACAAAAGGAAUGCCAUAUCGAACACCUCAGUACUGAGGUCCUCCCCACCAAGGCAAUUGAUUAUCUUUGAGGAAGGGAGCUGGCGAGGCAAGUCAUCAAGAACAUUGAGUGCCUCCUGCUCGGCCGGAGUCAUAUCUGACUGUAACCAGGAAGUCACCCAAGUAGGGUCUUCGGUCUAGUACAAAGAAAAUUUUGGUCACUCGUCUUCCCCAAAGAAUAGUAGAUGGCCAAACUCGGUUAAUUCUACCUUAAAAAAUUUAUCAUUGAAGCCCUUGAAUGAAAGAGAAUAAAGCUCAAAUAAGGCUUUCCCUUGCUCGAAGAUCGGGGCGACCCAACCGCGUUUCGGAAUAUGUCAGGUCCAAAAGUAGUGAAGAAAAAGAGCGCGGGUGUAGGUGUGAGGUCCAACACUUAGCAAACGAUGGCGAAGGCCUGAAUAUACCCCUAGUUAUUUGGAUGCAGUUGGAAUGGGGCAAUAUUUAGAGUACGGAGGACGUCCAUUUGAAAAGAGCUAAACGACAGAUACACAAACAUCUCAUGGAACAUAUAAGCGUAAGCGAAGAAGAAGUCACUCUUACUCCCUCCUUUUCCAUGAAACACACGGUCAUUCUCCUCACGGGCCAUUAACCUAAAUAGAGGACCAAAAUCCAUUGACCGCAACACAUAGUUACAAUCAGUCCAGUCCGCCAACUGACUCAUGUCAUGAGACGCUUCAAAAGUAGGUGGAGAACUCACUCACAUCAUGAGACGCUCAGUCGUAGCCCGCGACAAUGGGCAAAGCUCCCACCUGCUUGUUCUCCUCCUUAGCACCCUCCAUAAUCACCCCUCCAUAGACAAAGGUCCACUGACCGUUGAACAUAACCUCUUUAUUUUCUUCUACAAUGGAUUCAUUACCAUCACAACCACCAUCCCGCUCGGUUGACUCCAUGAAGGAGGAAGAAGACUCCGAGCCCACCGAGAAUGAGACCCCAUCAUUGCCCCACCCGCCCCUUCCCGAAGACUCCUCAGACGAAGAGAGGUUCAUGGUAGCCAUUUAUUACAUGAAUUAAAAAAAAGACAAAUAACACUUUCAAACGUUGGAUGAAAAUACGUGAAAAUUAUACAAUGGGUCUUUCCUAUUUAUAGGCAGCAAAUGGAGGACCCAAAGAUCGUCCUAACUGUUGGAUGUAAAGAAAUCCAACGGUCUGAUUCAAAGACUCCAUAACUUCCAUCCAGCAUGAGAAACGAAAAAUCACAUCCAACGGUUAAGAACAGCUGACCUUGCACAUUCCUAUCAACGCAUGAAAUAGAACCAAACGCCAAUGGUAACAAUUUCAAAAUCAAGGCAACACCCCACCCAAACCAUGCACGCUCACCAAACAGUUAGUAAAGUCCCUUGCACAUUCCUAUCAACGCAUGAAAUAGAACCAAACGCCAAUGGUAACAAUUUCAAAAUCAAGGCAACACCCCACCCAAACCAUGCACGCUCACCAAACAGUUAGUAAAGUCCCUUGCCAAACAUGUUCGUCUCGAACUUGGGAGUCUGUGUACUGUAUGAACCGACCGAUAUACGUAUACCGGUAGACCACACGAUUAAUCACCUUUAGAAACGCAUUACAACCAAAUUAAACGAACGGUCACUUACAACACUCAUCGUCGUUAGGUAUAAAGACUUUAGAUUAACAAAGUAAAAACAUACUUAAACAAUGUUAGGCUUACACUUAUCCAAAGAUAAAGACAUAGGUGAUUACAUUUGGCAUUUGAGACUUAAUUAUAACCAUUCGAUAAGACUAACUUGAAUAUCAAGAGUACAUUUCUCCUCAGAAUUUUGAGGAGAAUAACAACAUAUUAUAAGAAAGUUAAAGAGUUAAUUGAAGGCAACAAACUAGAUUAGUAUAUAUGGAAACACAUUAUUUAAAUUGUCACUCAAAACAUAUCUUAAUUACGUUUCCUCACUUCCGCAUCAAUUUAGUUUUUUUAUCAAUUUUUGUUUAAAUAUUUAGUCGAAACAUAUUCAAAAGUUACACAUUCAAGAUGAAAAGGAAAUAAUUUAAAAAAUAACCAAGAUAGUAAAAUAAAAUUUAUUGUGGAUAUGGAAUUGCUUGAUUUGAUUUUAACCCACAAAUAACACCAAUUCAAUCAAAUCCAAGUUAGUGUAAUGAGUGGAUUUGAUGAAACCUCAAUCACAACAUUGUCCAUAAUAAGAACACGAGAAAGAAACUAAAAUUUAAAAAGCACAGCAAAACUUCUUGCCGGGGAGGAAGAAAUGACAAACUUUGGUAUUUUCUCAUUGAAAUGGUAGACAAUAAUACAACAACGGUGUAACAUUGGUACAAUAAAGAUAUGUCUGUCACUAUUUGCUGCACGAGGACCUUCAAACUACUUAAUUCAUACAGAAUAUCUUUCCAUUAUGCCCCAAGAGAAAAGAAGAAACAUAUGUACAAGGGUUGAGCUUUUAUGGAACCCCUCCAGAGGGUCUCACUGUUUUGUGAAAGGCCGUGUAUAACAUUUGUGAAGGGAUAAAUCCUGAACUAUUGAGCAUAUAUGUAAUAGGCCAAGUCAAAUAAAAGCCGCAUCUUUCUGUUGUUAGUUUUCAAAUUUGUAUCAAUUGUGGGAUAAGCUUCAAAAGGAAAGAUAAAUCCUGCUGUGAAAAUUGUGGAUUUGAGUUCCCCUGCACCGUCACACUCCCCUCCGUAAAACCCUCCCCAUCACCACCCUUUUUUGGCUUUAUCAUAUCUGCAACUGCUUCGGUUAUUUCUUUAACCAGAUCCACAAUUACUCCAUCAAUUCCCAUUAGAUGUUGCAUGUAAACUGCCUCAGGAACAUUGCUGCAAUGUCAAAUAUAAUCAUGAGCCAAAAUGUUACACCAAACACAUUCUUUUCUCAAGCAAUUAACAAAGGAAAGAGAGUACUAAAAACAAGCAUACUUUAAUUUGCCGUAAGAAAGGAGGCAGAGCUUGGACUCCUUUAUCUUGGUUACUGUAGAAGGAUCUCUAAAAAUCCCUUUAAUUUCUGAGACAAUUCCUUCCAAUCCAUUCUCAACAGAGAGCUUCAUGGCCUCCUCCAGUGAGUUUCUUCUCACAUCUUCAUAGAUUUCACAUCCUCCAUUUGUCAAGAAAAAGACCUGGUUGUUCCCAACAAAUUAACCACAACAUCAGAUCCAGUUAAAGAAAUAAAAUAAUUUCUCAGAACUAAAAAGGCUUAAAGAACUAACAGGGUAGUUGCUUUGCAAUUUCCGGAUGAGCAAGGCUGCAUCUGGCUGGAAUGUUGAGAAGAUAAUAGGUCUAUCCUUGGCGUAUUCAAACACAACCUGCACCCCACAAAUACCAAAGACAAUGAGAGAUCCAAGUCACCACUUUUGAAAUGUAAAACUAAAACAAAACACUCAGUGUCCCCCAUAAACACAUUUUAGGCUUAAAAUAGACUCUCUUAGCGUACCUUUAAGAUGGUUUGAAGGACAUGGACGAGAUAAUCUUGCUCAUAGACAAUGUGAUCAUCGAACUUCAACUCAAUAUUAAAACCAAUAGCGGGUUCCACCUUCACAAAAGCCUCUUGGAGAGUGCAAAGUGAGUCAUCUUGUUCAACAUCCCAUGGCAUUAUCUUCCCAUCUUUUUUCCUUAGCAAAACCUUUCCCUCAUUGCCAUGCUCUCUCUGAGGCCCAUAAGAAAGAAACUCUGAGAGACUCAGCUCUGUGAUCCUCCUUCCAGUUACAGCACCCUGCAAAACACAUUAAUUUCAACGUAACAAACCCAAAAAACUCGACCCAUUGAAAAGAAAAAGAAAGAAAUCAUCAAAGCUAAGCAAAAACAAAAAAACUCACAUUCUCCUCCGAGAAGAUGAAAUCGUCGUGGAAAAUGACGGGGCAAUCAUCUCUCGUCACCUACAAAAAACGUGCAUUUUUUAAUUCGUUUUCUUUUUUUUUUCUAUAAAAAAUGCAACGCGUCAAACAAAAACAAACAAGCAGCCAAUCAGUACCGAACAGACGGUCAAAAAAGGGCCGAGAAAGGCAAAUUAUUUACAGAAAAGCCAUCGGGGUAAAAUAGGAAAAGAAGAAAAGUAGUUGUUGCGAAACACAAGAAGCGAAAACGGUGCGCGCGGUGGAACAUUAAAUUAUUGCAUUGAGUGCAAAAGCAGAAAGAGGAAAAUAAAAGAAAAGGUCACCUGAACGUCAAAUUCUAUGAAAUCGAGAGGAAAAGUAGAGGCGGCGUUGAAGGACAUAAUGGUAUUUUCCUUUAUGGCUCUCAUUCUUCGAUCCGAAGAUUGCAGAACGUUCAUGCCGUUACCCCUGUGGCCGAUGACGACGAACUUGGGCAUCUUGAAGCCACUCCGAGCAAUCUCGACCCCUGCAUUAACGAUUAAAAGAAUGUUAGGAAGAAAAGAUGGGAAGAGGAAGAAGAGAAGGAAAGAGAUGGAAAGAACCGUUGGGGAAGCGGGAGGAGCAGAGGGCGAGAGAGGCAUUCUCGGGGACGUGGUCAAGGGAAGGGACGUCGGUGACAUGGACGGCCUUGAGAGCCAUUUGGGUGGAAGGAAAGAGAGAAAGGAGGAAGGGGAAAGGGAGGUGGUGAUGAGGAGGGCACCGGAUGGUUUGUGGGUGAUGGUGGUGGUGGUGAAGAACAAGGCAUGGUUUGGUCCGCUAUUUAUUGCUUCCACCUACGCCAAAUUCACCCUCCAACGGAUCUCCCCACGAAUAUUCCCCUCCCAUCUAUAUGCUUGGGAUAUUCCCUUGUCAUUUUCCACCCUUUCAAUUUCAACCUACACUUUUUCUUUUUCUAUAUCUAUAUCUUCAACAAAAUAUGUCAUUAUAGAUUUUUUACUAAUUUAUUGGACUAGAUUUUCGUCUAAUAUAUUAAUAAUAAUACCAUAUUUAAAUAAAAUAUUUAUAUAUAUCAUCCAAAUAAGUUCAAAAUAAUAACUGAAAAUUUUGAAACCGAACAAUUUUUUUUUAUACAAAAUUUAAAAACAAACACCUUUUCAACCAUUUAAACCACUAAAACAACCAACAAUUGUUUUAUCUCUUACUACAACUUCCAAAAAUAAAGCAAUUGACCAUGAAUACCUUUCAAUUCCAACAGACUUUGAAGCUAGCAUAAAAAAAUCUUGAAACAAUAUCGGAUAACUAGGAAUUGGUUCGAUCAAUUUCCAGCACAAACUGUUCUAGACACCAAAAAUGGAAGCCCUAUGACCAUUUUAAGAGGAAAAGCUAUACAUCUUUUAAUUGGAUGAUUUUAUUUAUUUUUUAAAUAAAAAAAGUAAUUCUUUAUUUAUGUAAUAAAAUAAAUUAUUAAAUAUUGUUUGUUUAAAAAAAAUAAAUUUCUAAAAUAACACUUGCGUAAAAUUAUAUAUAUUUUGUAGUGAUUGGAAACAAUGCUGUGGUGGUGGCGGGUGAGAAGUGGCUGGGUGACAGCUGGGGUAUUAUGUUAUAGUCGUUGACCUGUGACAAGGCAAACUACAAGGUUUUUGAAGAAAAUCUGUGGUGGGAUCGUCCGAACAUUGCGGACUACGGUAUUUUAUAAGAUAGAGGAUGAAUGAAGAAACAUAAUUGAUCGGGUAUGACGUGGUGACACAACAGCAUGUAGAUAGAUAGAGAAAGGUGGGUGGUUAUAAUUGGAUAAGACUACAAAAAGGAUUUAGGAAUGACUCAUGGCUGCCUUUGCCAAACUAUUAAUUUUAUUUAAUGAUAAAAAUUGAUGUUGUCUUUGUACUUUUAGGAAAACAAACAAAAAGUUAAAAUACGGUGGAAACAAUUUGAUAAAAAAAUUGGAAUUUUUUUUGAAAAUAAUGUAUUUUAAUUAGUUUGAUAUAAAAUAGAAACAUUAGGAAAUAUCACAUUCUAUGUUUUUAAUCUUUACGAAAAUAUUUAUUAGUAUAAUUACGUGGUACAAGUAAAAAUCUUCUAGAUAAACUAGAAUUCUCUAUAAGUUGAAUUGCUGUCUGAUUGAGGAGAAGCGGAUUGAGCUUCAAGAAAAAGGAAAAGUAGAGAAAGAUUCAUGUACAAAAUAAAGUUAAUAAAAAAGUAUAAAUAGUAUAAGUGUGAAUAGGAGAUAUACCUGGAUCAAUAGACACACAUUAAAUCGAUUAAUAUUUCAUAUAUGAUAAUAAGAUCAAGAGAUAAUAUGAAUAAAUUUGGAUUGGACUCAAAUAAACCUUUAUUAUAAAAGUUAUUGGGUUUGGACUUAUUUAGUUUUAAAUAUAUAAUUUUGGUUUAAUAAAUUUUAAAUGAUUUUUAUUUUUAUAAAAUUAAAGUAUACAUGAGAGAGUCCGUGUAUAUAUUAAUCUCACAUGACAUUAAAAUCGAGUUUUAUAUUAAAAGUUUUAAAUGUACAAAGGUGAACUUCAGGGAAGACAAAGUAAAAAAAAUUAAAAAUUUUAAGUGGAUCUCCCUUUAAUUUAAAAAUGCAAAUGAGAUUGGGAAAAAGAAUCGAAGAUCCGUAUUAUUAGAUUUGUGUGAGAAAAAAAAAAUCGCAUUCUUUCGUUCAAAAUUUUCUUAAAAAAACUGAAUUUAUAUGUGAUAGUAGCUCAUCCUCUGCAAUUAUAAAAAUAAAAUAGACUAAAUUCUUAUUACAAAGCAAGAGAGGAGGAAAAGAUCUAAGAGUUUUUAUAUCUUGGUAUGCAUUUAGCUACAGUAUGAGCUCCAGAUUUAACUGAUAACAUAGUCCAUGUAAUUUAAUUUGGACAAUGAAUGAAAAGUGACAAUGACUUCCAGAUAUCCAUGAUUUAAAUUACAAUGGAAAAAUAGAAGAAGAAAUGAGGAAGAAUGUGAGGGACUGGGACUAAUUAAUAUAUUAAAUAUUUUACAUCUAACUCUCUUAAUGUAUACACUUCUUCUGAACUUUAUCUGAGAUGAACAGUUAUAGAGAUGAACAGUCAGAGAGGGUGUUGAAAGAGAGAGCUCCCAAUGCAAUUCACAUCCUCCGCUUCAUGCUCUACCAUAUCACUCUCAAAUGGCUGCCAUGCAAUGUGCUCUAACUUCUCUUAUGGACUCUCAAAACAAACCAUAUGCCUUCAACAAAUCAACAUUAGAAUUACCUUUCCAGGACGCUUCUUCUUCUUCCAGCAACAAUGAGAAAUUCUCUUCAAAAUCCAAAAAGUACUCCUCUAAUUUACACCUCACCAUCUUUCAGCCAUGGGAAAUCAUACACCCCAAGUCCCAACUCGAAUUCCCAUGCAUCUCAACAACAAUCCUCUUUCUCUCUAAUAAAGAACGAAGAAAGAAAGAACGAGCGAUUUUUUUCCCUCACACAAACCUUAUAAUACGGAUUCUUAAUUUUUUAAUGCCAUGUAUGAUUAAUGUAUACAUUGAUCAUAUCACGUAAGCGAAACUUAAACGAUCUUUUGUUCAAUUUGACGGCAGGCUCUAAUUACUUCAAUUUUUAAAAAAUAAGGAUCUAAUUAAGAUGGCAUAAAAAAAAAGGGACUUAUUUGACAUUUUGGACCAAAAUAGGAACAAACCGAGACAUUAAACCUAUAGUCUUUCAUAAUUAUUCUUUUCCAUUUGUUAUUUAAAAAACGUUAAAAUUAGAAAAUGUUAAUUUAUAUAACAAAGAUAAUAAAGAAUUUUAAAUGGAAAUAAUUAUAAUUUUAAAGCAUAAAAUUUAAUAAAUCUAUACUUAUAUAUAUAUAUAUAUAUAUAUAUAUAUAUAUAUAUAUAUAUAUAUAUAUAUAUAUAUAUAUAUAUAUAUAUAUUAUGGGUUUGUUAACGUGCGUAUGCCUCUUUUCAGUUGGUACAUUUUAACAAUGUGUACCGGAUUAUAGUAGACAAAAAUAUCAUCAUAUAUUAUGGAUUCUAAGUUUUAAAGUCAAGGAUAUUUAAAUAAUUUUCAUUCUGAAAACUAAAAAAAAAAAAGAAAUCCCCAAACCCUUACUCACCUCUCCCAUUCCUAUCAAUUCUUUCUGUUUCAUUUCUCUCACUCCAACUUUUUCUCUGUCAUUUUUACUAUAGCCCCAAUUAAAAAAAAUUAGAAAAACUUGCUGUUAAGAAAUUUCUUACAAAAAAAUGAUUUUAUAAUGAGUUUUCAUUUUAUAACUUUUGUCUUAUCUAAUUUUCACAAGCAUAAUGACAUAUGAAGGAAUUGGUAAUUCGCCUGAAAAAAAAAAUAAAAAACACUCGCUAUUAAACAAUUUCUUACAAAAAAUGAUUUUAUAAUGAGUUUUCAUUUUAUAAUUUUUGUCUUAUCUAAUUUUAUUUAAUUUUCACAAGCAUAAUGACAUCAGAAGGAAUUAGUAAUUGGCCUGAAGAUUUUUUAAGAAAUGACGAUUCAACAUCUGCAGAUGAUGAAAUUAGAGAUGUUAGUGAAGAUGAUGAAAUUGAAGAGAUCUUGAAUGAACCUUUGCCUGAAAGCGAAUAUGCCAAUGACUCAACUCUUUACAAAGGUAAAUUGUUUAAGGAUGAGUAUUUCUAAUUUUUUUUUCAAUUGGAUCUACCAUAGGAUGAUAGAGAAACGGUUGGAGUGAGAGAGAUGAAAGAGAAAGGAUUGAGAGGAAUGAGAGAGGUGAGUAAGGGUUUGGGUUUUUUUUUUNUUUUGUUUUGAGAAUGAAAAUUAUUUAAAUAUCCUUGACUUUAAAACUUAGAAUCUUAAUAUAUGAGGGUAUUUUUGUCUACUAUAAUCCGGUACACAUUGUUAAAAUGUACCAACUGAAAAAUAGGCGUACAUAUAUAUAUAUAUAUAUAUAUAUAUAUAUAUAUAUAUAUAUAUAUAUAUAUAUAUAUAUAUAUAUAUAUAUAUACAAACACACACACACAUACGGGGUUUGUUAACAUACGUAAGCUAUAUUUUUACAGUUAAUACAUUUUAGCAAAGUAUACCGAGUUUUAGUAGACAAAAAUACCCUUAUACAUUAUGGAUUCUAAGUUUUAAGGUCAAAGAUAUUUGAAUAAUUUUCGUUCUUAAAACUAGAAAGAAAAACAAGAAACCUGCAAACCCUUAGUCACCCUUCUCUCAUCCCUCAUUCCUCUCAACCAUUUCUCUUUUAUCACUCUCUGUAACCUUUUCUCUGUCAUCCCUAUAAUAGCCCCAACUGAAAAAAAAAAAAUCAGAAACACUCGCAUAACCCUAAUCCACCUUCCUCAUUUAUCCAAUUUGUUUCUCUCUCAUCUUCACCUCUCUCGUCCACACACAGUAACUCGCGACAUUGCAAUUUGUAGUUCUUGCUCUGUUCGUUCAUUUGUUUCCACUUUAAUAACAAAAUAAUUGAUGAUGUUGAUGUUGAUUUUUGAUUGAAGGGUUGUUAUAUUUUUUUCCCUUAUGAUUAUUAUUAAAUUUUGUUUUUAAAUUUUAGAAUUAGUAGUUUAUCUAUAGGGAGAUUUGAUAUUUUGACUAUUAAGUUGUCCGAAAAUAUUUUUCAGAAGAGAAAAAUAGUUACGUGGAAAGGCGAUUCCCGAAAGGGUAAGUCAUUGUCCAAAAAAUGGAUUUCUGAAGUCAGUUCUUAAAAAUAAUUCUAAAAACAUAUUUUGCGCUGAAAGCAAUACUUUGGAAUAUACUUUUCACCUUCCUGCAUAUAACCAACGUCAAAACACAACAAAAAAUGAAGCUCAUGUACAUCGUACUAAAUGAUUUAACAGGAAAAAAUUAUUGAAGAGAGUUAUGAACAUAAAAGAAUUUUGUUGUUGUCCACUAGACUUUUCACUCAAUUCUGGUUGUGUAAUAUUGUUCAUCACUCCUGAUGUCCACUAGACAAACUCGUCUAGGUACCGCUUAAUCCAACCAAGUUAAGCCUUAAGUGUUUGAAUUAUCUUCAAAAUAUGCAAUCAAUCAAAUCACCUACAAGUCAUUAGAUGAUUACUCUCAUAGUGAGGAUUUGCUUACAAUAUAAUUCAAUCUAAUAGACUUUUGAAAUUUUCUUUUUUCUUACAAGUGUAACUUUCUAACUCUAAACAACUCUGAGAGUAUUCUUGAUCUUUCAAUGAGGAUGAUUUUUCUUUAUAUUCCUUAUGUGUCCAUCCUUUUUUCCUUCUUAACCAGAUAUCUUCUCUUUAUAAGCGUUUUUUGAGAAUUUAGUCGUUAGAUGAUGCUUGUCUUUGAAUUUUAGCUCUUUGUAGCCUGCCUUUAUCAUAGGUGGUUGUCAUAGGUUGAGGUCUACUUGUCAAAGUAGGCUUACUUUUUUAGUACUUUAUCAAAAGUAGGUUGUACGAAUUCUUUGGCUCGACUUUUGAUAAGAAGGUCAUUCCAUGAAUGUCUUCUUUGUCUCUAACUUGUAUUUGAUAGAGAAGGUGGAUGCUUGACUUAGGUAAUUUGCAUAAAGUAGAGUAGAUAUUCAUACAAGCAUAUAUGUCUGUUUUCCUUUCACUUUUGCUAUUUUGAGACAUUGUGUUUUUUAAUGCGCGUUUAGAACAACUAUAAGUAUUUUAAAAUUUCCUUGCUCAAGCAGCAUUUGGUUGUUUAAGCAUUCUAGUAGAGAUACCUAGUAGAUCAUGAGAGUUUCAUCAUUGGAUGAAAACUUCGUUUAGCACAUGAUAUCGUUUAGCCUAUGCAAGGCUUUUCAUAAUAGUGCCUUGUUUAAUAAAUACUCGUUUGAUUUAAGAGCGCAUUUAGUGAGAUAUCUUUCAACAUCAAUUUUUGGAACAAUGAUUGUAUCUUUUAGCACAUUUACCAAAAACAUCAUUUUAUAUAUAUCAUAGUGAGAUCUUGUUUAGCUUUGUUUAGCAAAGUAUAGCACAAAUGUGUUUAACAAGACUCUCAUAUAGCUCAAUGACGCAUUUAGUAGUGAAAUCGUUUAGUAGUGCAUCUACUUAUGUAUUAGUGCAUUUAUUAAAGUUUUUUCUUUCAUGGAAAGUCUUUUUAUGUAGCGAUAUGAGUUUUACAAAGGUAAUACUUUGUUAAUCAUCUAUUUCGGUCAUAUUCUUAUUUACUAAUUCUCAAGUCAUGUGAAGAUGCUAAACAAUCUUGAUCUUAUCUUAGCAAACUUCCUUUCUUCUUGUAGUACUGAUUUAUUGUGUAGCACUAUCGUUUUGUAUUAUGUCUCUUCUUAGGAAUGAAUUGUUUUCUUUUAGGAUGAAGAUAUAUUCUUUUAUUUUACGAAUAUUUUAUUUGCAAUGCGUGAUUACUUGAUAGAUUCUUGCACUCAAUGUUUUGUCAGUUUUACUUGGACACUUCUUAUGCUUAUUGCUUUGUAAUUGUAUAUUUGUAGGCAUACUGUAUGUAGGCUUCUUCUAUGUUUCUAUGUUAUUUCAGCUUAUCUCUUUUGUUGUUUAACAACUUAUGUAACUUUAGAUGUAACCUUGAUUUUUACUUUGAUUUGGCUUGACAAUAUAGAUGCUUCUAACCUUAGACGUUUUUCUUUUGGACAUCUUUUUUCCGCUAAAUGGAUAACUAGAUGGUUUGCAAAGUCCACUUUCUAGUGUUUAGAUGAUUUUUCUUUUACAAUUAUCAGAUAAUGUCAUCGAUAAAUAUAUCAUCCAUAAAUAUCAUCCAUAAAUAUAAUGAAUAAUUGUACUUAAUUUAUCUAUCAUUCUAAAAAUAACUUUUUUUUCUAAUCGACUUAAUGAGUCCACUACUAAAUUUAUUAUUAUAUAUUAUUUAAUAAUAUUAUCUUGAAAAUAUUUUAUCAAGAUAAUUUUAUGAAAUAUUAAUUAAAAAACAAUAAACAUUUAUAACAUUUAUAAGAAAGUGUGAUAUUUGAGAAAAACAUAAUAUAAUAUUUAAAAUAAAAGACAACUUAUUAGAAGAAAUGAGAAGAACAGGGAUGGAACUAAAGGUUAAUAAAUAAAAUUGAUGUUUUUCUAUUUUUACAAUUAAUUAUUUUUAGAAUAAAAGUUGUGUAUGGAAUUAAAAAUUCUAUACAAUAAUUUGUUAAGAGAUAAAAUAUGGUCGUAGAGGAUUAAUAAUUUAUUUAUUAAUUUUUCUAUUACUUUUGAUAGUUAACCAUGGAUGAUUGUUAUAGUUUUUUAGAACAUUAGUUACUUUCCUUAGUUAGUUUUAAUUUUUUUUUUCUACAAAUAGUUGAGUAAAUUAUUUUUCUAUACCAUAUGUUACGGAUGUUUCUUUAAUUAGUUUUAUACUUUCUAGCAAAUAAUUAAACACAAUUAUUAUCUUACGCAUGAAUGUGAAACAUGAUAUAAAUGUGUAAAAUUAACUUAUGAAAUCUUAUGAAAUAUAUGUUAAUGAAGUUGAAUCUCAUUUUCAAUUAAAAGGAAAACAAACUGAAAGAAAGACAACACCAAUUUCAUUCAUGUAUUUAUGAGGUGUCAAAGUUUCAUUUUAACAUUUUGUCUUUUCACAUAAUAUUAAUUGAAAAAAAAAAGUAAUGAAAAGGUGGAGAAAAAAAUGUAUGAUUUUAGUAUGUCUUCCGUUGUAGCCAAAAAACUGCUCACUGAAAGGAAUUAAAAAAUAGAUUUGAAUAGGAGUCUGUCAGACAACCCUGCAACCAUCCCCAGCUUGUAAAGUCAGGGAACGAUCCUCUACAGCUGGUGAUGGGUCUCGUCCAGAAACGAAGCCCACACUGCCGUUAAUCACGCUCUGAUCACAGGGUAAUAAUUCAUCCACCAGACUUCAGUUCCUGUCUCCUUAGAACUUAAGGAUACAGAGGUACGAACCUAUAGAACAGAUCCUGUUCAAGUAAGGUCGU
rnacentral:lncRNA from 1 species